GAGCGUGUUUGGACUUUCAGAUCUUCCAAGUAAACUUUGGGUAAAACUCAGCUGGUUUCUAAUGGAAGCCUUCGGUAGUUUUCUCUUGUAGAAGGAAUCAUUCACUAUCAUCUCGCGAUUUGCGUAUAAUUUAUUGCCUGAUCCAAAACCUUAAAUUUCGCGAAUGGAAAAUGCAUAUGCUAGAUCGGUCGACGAGGUAUUGGAUUUCUUUGGGGUAGACCCUACAAAGGGUCUUUCUGAUUCUCAGGUUGCACGGCAUACCGGGCUUUAUGGUAAAAAUGUGCUGCCUGAAGAAAAAAGUA